rnacentral:rRNA from 3 species
GUGUGAGUCUGACUGUGUUCCUGUGUGAGACCCGCCAGCGUGAGUGAUGAAGGCCUUCGGGUCGUAAAGCUCUGUUGUUAGGGAAGAACAAGUGCGAGAGUAACUGCUCGCACCUUGACGGUACCUAACCAGAAAGCCACGGCUAACUACGUGCCAGCAGCCGCGGUAAUACGUAGGUGGCAAGCGUUAUCCGGAAUUAUUGGGCGUAAAGCGCGCGCAGGUGGUUUCUUAAGUCUGAUGUGAAAGCCCACGGCUCAACCGUGGAGGGUCAUUGGAAACUGGGGAACUUGAGUGCAGAAGAGGAAAGUGGAAUUCCAAGUGUAGCGGUGAAAUGCGUAGAGAUUUGGAGGAACACCAGUGGCGAAGGCGACUUUCUGGUCUGUAACUGACACUGAGGCGCGAAAGCGUGGGGAGCAAACAGGAUAAGAUACCCUGGUAGUCCC